rnacentral:lncRNA from 1 species
CCUGUGGCCAAUUCACAUCCAAUUGUUUGAAAAUUGGUCUUAGGUGAUAACCCUGAAUGAUUAAAUAUGAAGCUAAUUCUGCUUUCAAAUCCACCUGUUCCUUUGAAAAGCACAGUAAAUGUCCCACACAGGAGGGAGGUUCAAAGCUGCACUGAUCUGAUUGUGUCUACUGAAAACCCAAAUGUUAUGAUCUCUGUGUUAUAUGAGAUACUAUCCCUAAAGUAAAACUAGCUUUAGGGAAGUGGGGAUGCUUGCUUUAAAUCAAUAGUACUUUUCACAUUGCCACUUUUAUAAUCUUACCUGUGGGGCAAUAUGAGUUAUUUAUAUAGUUUUGCAGUGACAGGCUGAUUAACAGGGGCUUCUUCUUGAAAGUCCUUUUCUGUACAGUUUUUGUAUUUAACCCGUGCUGUAGAAAGUUGAGCAUGCAGUUCACGGAGGUCUGCAUUGUUAGCCAAAAUGUUAGCAGUCAGUAUCUACUUGAAUAAAUAAUCUGCUGCGCAUAUUUUAACUUCAGGAAGCCAAAACUCCAGAUGGCUCCUCUGGCAUCCAGGAUAUAUGGUGGCACCUGAAUGGGCUCUCUUUUAGGGGAUGGGAGCAAAUUCCCUGGUACUGCUGGGACCUAAGAUACCGGUGAUGCUUUGAUCUCUCACUCUUCCUGUGCAUUAUGGCUGAGGCUUGACAAGCACAAAGUAGUUUCUCACAACAGUUAUAACUCAUUUUGUCAGCACAAGGAGCCCAGCACUUGGUAUCCUUCUUCCCUCCCUUGGCUGACUGCGUGCCUGGAAGCUGGAGCGCUUAGGCCAAAGGCUGAGGCAGACCACAUGGAAAAUCAAGGGGAAAAAGAAGUCGUGCUCAAGUUCUGGAAUUCAGCACUGACCUUCUGGGGGACUGAACAUUCGUGGCAGAGUAUCUCAAGUGAAAUGCAAAGCAGAAAUGUCUUCCUGCCAUUAAAACAGUAGGAGGGAUUGCUUCCAUCCUUUCCCUUUCAUUC